rnacentral:rRNA from 1 species
AUUGAACGCUGGCGGCAGGCUUAACACAUGCAAGUCGAGCGAGCGGCGGACGGGUGACCAAUGUCUGGGAAACUGCCUGAUGGAGGGGGAUAACUACUGGAAACUGUUGCUACUACCGCCUACCAUCAGCUGUGCCCAGAUGGGAUUAGCUAGUAGGGGGGGUAAAGGCUCACCUAGGCGACGAUCCCUAGCUGGUCUGAGAGGAUGACCAGCCACACUGGAACUGAGACACGGUCCAGACUCCUACGGGAGGCAGCAGUGGGGAAUAUUGCACAAUGGGCGCAAGCCUGAUCCAGCCAUGCCGCGUGUGUGAAGAAGGUCUUCGGGUUGUAAAGCACUUUAAGCGAGGAGGCGUUACUCGCAGAAGAAGCACCGGCUAACUCCGUGCCAGCAGCCGCGGUAAUAC